rnacentral:rRNA from 1 species
GAUGAAUGCUGGCGGCGUGCCUAACACAUGCAAGUCGAGCGGCAGCGCGGUGUGCUUUUACCCUUUCGGCGAGCGGCUGACGGCUGAGUAACGCGUAGGACUUUGCCUCAAAUUUCGUAAUAACUGCCCGAAAGGGUAUCUCAUUCCUCCUAUGUUCUUCGUAUUAAAGGAUUUAUCCGCUUUUGGAGAAGGCUGCGUUGGAUUAGGUGGUUGUUAGGUUAAUGGCGUAUCAAGCCGAGGAUCCAUAGCUGGUCUGAGAGGAUGAUCAGCGAGACUGGAAGUGAGCCACGGUCCAGAAUAUUACGGGAGGGAGGAGUGACGGAUCUACCAAAAUGGGGGAAAGGAUGAAGGAGCAAGGGUGGGUAAAGGAUGAAGGUCUGCGAGAAGAAAACUAGUUUUAUGAGUGAAGAAUAUGACGGUAACUAAUGAAUAAGCACCGGCUAACUACGUG